AGGGGAAAGGGGGCAGAAGUUUGAGUUAAUAACUAAUAGCUAAAGAUGUAAACAAUAAGCCUCCAUAAAACCCCAAAAGGACUGGACUGGGUUCUGAGAGCUUCCAGGUUGUUGAGCAGGUGGAGGUUCUGGGAGGGUCCACACCCAGAGAAGGCAUGGAAGCUGACCCCUUCCCCAUACCUUGCUCUUUGCAUCUCUUCCAUUUGGCUGUUCCCGAGUUGUAUACUUUGUAAUAAGUGGGAUUUCCACUCAACAACAAUUCAGCCACACUGCUUCACACAUCUAGAAUCCAUCCAAAAUUGUAAAGGUUUUGUGGCACUACAGUGAAAGAGGCAAGAACAUCUUCCAAACAUCCAGCACAAGGGCACACAGGAGGCCGGCAUAAUCACGAAUUGCAGCUGUCUGAAGGGCAGUCACAUAAAAGAGGGGAAGCUUCACCUUUGCUUCACAAGGCACAUCUUGAACCAGGGAUGGAAAUUACAGAGAGGCCAAAACCAGCUCGGUGUGAGCAGGACUGGUAACAGACUGGCCAAGCAACAGAAGGGGCUGCCCUGUGAAGAAGCAAGCUCUCUGUCAAUGGGAGGUGCAAGCUGAGCCUGCACUACCUUUUGUCACGGUUGCUAUGGAAAAGAUUAAGAGCCCGGGCUGGUUGAGUGUCUGCAUGACAUGGCAGCUGGCUCCCUGAAGAGCGCAUGAUCCGAAAGAGAGAGCAAGACAGAAGCGCAGUGUCUUCAACAGCAUAUCUUUGAAAGUCAUAUUCCACCGUUUUCACUACAUUCUAUUGAUAAGGCCUGGCUGUUCCCACCUCAAACCACUUCUUAGCUUCAUUUGUUCUCAUAACAAAAGGAUAGCCCUUCCUCCUCUGGAGGCCUGGGCAUCAGCAAGUCGGAUGGCAGUGGAAGGUGGAGAAAUGGAAUCCUGCUGGGGGCUCAGGAGGCCUGCCCCCUGAUGCUGCCGUGCACUGCAGAUGUCCUUGAUGAAGAGAAUGAAUGGAAGCUGUCUUUCUCAAUGGCAAAAGGGCAUACUGCUGUUAUUGUCAGUGAGGGGUCAGUAGUUUAAAUGAUGAAACUCUGGGGAUCAGCGUAAAGUAAACCAACAUACUGCAUGUAAAUUCCUCAUUCUUACUGCUGUGAGAACAAUUGUUAGGAGCCAAAAACUUCAGAGCUUUCAAAGAACUGUAAUGAGAUAGCACAAUGCAGGCAAAAAGCCAGUGUUAACGGAGCAAGAAACUUCCCAGUUCUGACAUUCACAGCAUGACCUAGAGCAUGCGGAUUCCCCUCUCUGAGUCACUGGUUUCUCACCUGCAAAAGAAAGCUGGGACAGGGAAGGAGGAAGAAGCUUCGAGAGGCUGGAACAGUUGAGGGAGCGCUGACACGGUAAAGGCCACUUUGCUCAUCAUCAUCGGGAGCGCUGCCGAAAAUUUCCACUCUGUUUACUCCCAAGACCUUACUCCUACUAUGUGGAGACAUAUUUGAAUAA